CGCGCAGGCGGCUUGGUAAGUCGGAUGUGAAAACCCGAGGCUCAACCUCGGGCGUGCAUCCGAUACUGCUCGGCUAGAGGUAGGUAGGGGAGAUCGGAAUUCCUGGUGUAGCGGUGAAAUGCGCAGAUAUCAGGAGGAACACCGGUGGCGAAGGCGGAUCUCUGGGCCUUACCUGACGCUCAGGCGCGAAAGCUAGGGGAGCGAACUGGAUUAGAUACCCAGGUAGUCCUAGCUGUAAACGUUGGGUGCUAGGUGUGGGCGGAUAUCGACCCCGUCCGUGCCGAAGCUAACGCAUUAAGCACCCCGCCUGGGGAGUACGGCCGCAAGGCUAAA
rnacentral:rRNA from 1 species